UGGAGGAUCUCAACAUUACCAAACAUCAAAACCACAGACCAAGGAGAUUAUGAAGUAACCAACAGCAUCAACACCUUUAGGAAGACCCUCACUGUCAAUGUGAUAAAGGAAGAAAAACCUACAACAAGUGUACUCCCAGGUCCGCCUUCAGGUGCUGCCACAGUGAUUGUUGGUGGUGUUGUGCUGCUGGUGGCUGCAGCUGCUGCUGUGAUCGCUACGGGAUAAAAAAAUGUAUUCUACAUACUGAAGAAAUGAGCCA